rnacentral:lncRNA from 1 species
AGCAGCUCCAGGAGUUCUCACGGUGACAGCCCCCCUCACUCACAGACACCAUGUGAUAUUAAUAGGGCUUAGACACAAAGCACUGAAUUCCCAAAGCAUUGAAGAGAAAGACAGCUCUCAGUCUGAGUAAAACCGUAUUGAGAGAAGAAAAGAGGUUGAAAGAAUCUUAAAGACAAAUUCAGAUUACAUGUAACAUUGGUCAAAUUGACCAGAAAAUAUUCUUCCAAAGAAGUUCUUCUCUAAACACCAAAAGUGCACAGCUACUCUCAGCAUGAGAAAUACAAGUAUUAUGAGAAAGAGGGCUUAUUCUGAGCAGAAUUUCCAUCUCUGCUGCUCUCCCAUCUGCCGGCCGUUGGAUUGGGAAUCUAUACUGGAACACACCUGACAACCUCCACCAGCACUUUUUGAUGAAGAAUUGGAAUUCACUCUAUUCACAUAGUAGAAUUAUAUCAGAGAUUGCAAGAUAGCUAACUGAAGAGCUACUAUGAUUCUUGGGUGGCCACAUCACCUGCAUUUAUUUGUCCGGGAAUAGUGGCAUUCCUAAUUUAGUAAAAUAAAAGAAUAGACUGUAAAAUUAUGCUGACCUAUAAUUAUACCUAUAGGAUCAAUUAAUAAACAUGUCAGGUUAAUAUCUACUGUAGCAAUGUGGUAGUAAAUUUUCUUUGGGUAUUAAAUAUAAAUGUGUACAUAUAAAUAAUUUUGGUAUAUUAGUCAUAAUGUAUAUAUUUUAAAAAUUAUCUGUAAGCUUAAUUACAAUAUUUUAUAAUACUUUAUAUUUCAAACAAAUUAAUGCUUAUAUUAAAGUUAUAUAAACUUAAUUCAAACAAAUUAAUACUUAUAAUAAAGUUAUAUAAACUUAAA